GAUGAAGAACGUAGCGAAUUGCGAUAUGUAAUGUGAAUUGCAGAAUUCAGUGAAUCAUCGAAUCUUUGAACGCACAUUGCGCCCGCCAGUAUUCUGGCGGGCAUGCCUGUUCGAGCGUCAUUUCAACCAUCAAGCCCCCGGCUUGUGUUGGGGACCUGCGGCUGCCGCAGGCCCUGAAAACCAGUGGCGGGCUCGCUAGUCACUCCGAGCGUAGUAAUACAUCUCGCUCAGGGCGUGCUGCGGGUUCCGGCCGUUAAAAAGCCUUAUUUACCCAAGGUUGACCUCGGAUCAGGUAGGAAGACCCGCUGAACUUAAGCAUAUCAAAAGCGGAGGA
rnacentral:misc_RNA from 1 species